CGGUUGAUCCCGCCGGAGGCUACCGCUAUUGGAGUUCGAUUAAGCCAUGCGAGUCGAGAGUCCUCGGGACUCGGCGUGCCGCUCAGUAGCACGUGGGUAACCUGCCCUAUGCUGGGGAAUAACCUCGGGAAACUGAGAAUAAUGCCCCAUAGCCCACUACGCCUGGAACGGUGAGUGGGUCAAAGCCCCGGCGGCAUAGGAUGGGCCUGCGCCGUAUCAGGUUGUAGGGGGUGUAAAGUACCCUCUAGCCAUCAACGCGUACGGGUGUUGGGAGACAUUGCCCGGAGAUGGAUUCUGAGACACGAAUCCAGACCCUACGGGGUGCAGCAGGCGCGAAAACUUGGCAAUGCGAGCAAUCGUGACCAGGGAACUCCAAGUGCGUAGGGUAAGACCUACGCUUUUCUUGACUCUUCAAAGGUCUUGGAAUAAGGGGUGGGUAAGGACGGUGCCAGCCGCCGCGGUAAUACCGGCGCCUCAAGUGGUAGUCGCUUUUAUUGGGCCUAAAACGUCCGUAGCCGGUCUGGUGCAUUCGUGGGUAAAUCAACCCGCUCAACGGGUUGAAUUCU
rnacentral:rRNA from 1 species